UAUAUAUAUAUAUAUACAUACACACACACAAAAAAAAAUCUACAAAUAAAGUGCUACAUUCAAAAGUGGUACCAAACAGUAGUAUUACGCACUUGGAUUGAUUACAGCAGCUACAUUAUUACAAACAGUAACAGUGGAGUUUAAUAACCAAACAAUAUAUUUUGGUAAGUUAGUGGUAAGCUACCAAACAAAUUGCAAAAUGUACACCAAAAUAAC